AUAGCUUGAUUAAUUAAUUAAGCACUAAAAAAUGAAAUAAGAAACAAAAUAUAGAUUUGAAAAGUAUUAAAAUUAUGGAAGGAAGAAUAUGGAGCAAUGGAUGAUUUGGAUCAACAAGUAUUGAAGGAGGAAGAUAAACGUCGGGUGUAUUUUACUAGAAAAUACUCCAUAAUUGUAUUUAGAGGGUGGUGCAGCCAGCUUAGCUGUACCAAUGUGCAGCUAAGAAUAUACGAAGAAAAUAUCACUUAAAAAAUGAAGAGAAUAAAUUAUGAACCCAAAAAUAAAAUCCGAUAAAGUUUUAACUCGAUAAAAAUAUAAAAAAUUAUCCAAAAAGAUUGUCGAACAUGCCCUACAACUUUCAGUCAUCAAUACUCAAAUAAAGAGACAAAACUCACCUCAAAUUACCGUCUUCUCCGCGUCCAAAAUUCACAAAUCCAUGGCGGGCUUUAAAAAGUUGGAGGGAACUUGAAAAUAAAAAAAGAGCGGCAAAACUCAUUAAAACCUCAAAAUCGCUCUUUUCUUCCCUUCACUUCUCUUUCUCUCUCCUCCGCUCAUCACUCUAAUGGCGGCGUCUUCGUCUUCUUUCCUUUCUACCAGAACACGAGCAGAUUCGGGGCUUGUUGAAUGAUGAAUCUUCCCGGAAUGUGAGGCAAAUUUUGAACCAAUUUAGAAGCCAGUCAAAGGCUUGCAGCUUGUCAGAUAUUCAUCCUUUCAGAAGAUAGGGAAAUCACUUCAACCUAACAUACAAACUUCGGGAUUUGCUGGGUUUGCAGAUAAAAGUGUCUAGUGGCAAUCUGCUCUGUUCCAAGUUCAUAAAGAGGUUUUCCAAGGAAGCUGACAGCUGUUACAACCAUCCGCUUGAUGCCUAUUGUUCAAUACCUUGUAAGAUGAAGCAUUAUCUGAUGGUUCCUUUGCCAACUGAUUUUGUGACUGCAUAACCAUAUUAUCACCCUCAAGAACAUAAAAUGAGCGUAU